rnacentral:rRNA from 1 species
GACGAACGCUGGCGGCGUGCUUAACACAUGCAAGUCGAACGGAAAGGCCCUGCUUUUGUUGGUUUCUCGAUUGGCGAACGGGUGAGUAACACGUGAGUAUCCUGCCCUUGACUUUCGGGUAACUUCAGGAAACUGGGGCUAAUACCGGAUAGGAGCUCCUGCUGCAUGGUGGGCGUUGGAAAGUUUCGGCUGUUGUGGAUGGACUCGCUGCUUAUCAGCUUGUUGGGGGGGUAGUGGCUUACCAAGGCUUUGAGGGGUAGCCGACCUGAGAGGGGGAUCGGCCACACGGGAGCUGAGACACGGACCGGGGUCCUACGGGAGGCAGCAGUAGGGAAUGGGCGGCAAUGGGCGAAAGCUUGACAGAGCGACGCCGCGUGAGUGAUGAAGGUCCUCGGAGCGGAAAACUCUGUUAGUAGUGAAGAACAAAUGUGUAAGUAACUAUGCACGUCGUGACGGUACCGAAUAAGAAAGCCACGGCUAACUACGUG